CUGAACCAGCCAAGUAGCGUGAAGGAUGACUGCCCUAUGGGUUGUAAACUUCUUUUAUACGGGAAUAAAGUGAGGCACGUGUGCCUUUUUGUAUGUACCGUAUGAAUAAGGAUCGGCUAACUCCGUGCCAGCAGCCGCGGUAAUACGGGGGAUGCGAGCGUUAUCCGGAUUUAUUGGGUUUAAAGGGAGCGCAGACGGGUCGUUAAGUCAGUUGUGAAAGUUUGCGG
rnacentral:rRNA from 1 species